GUAGGAUUUUCUUGUACCUAUCUUUCUUCUAAGAACGGACAACCUAAUGGGAAGAGGAAGACGUGCCCAGCGUUGUCUUAGCUUACGGCGCACUUCGAGAUUCGUGCACGUGCAACGAGCGACAUCACAGCGCCCGCGAUUCUCCUCUUCUCUCGACGUUUCUUUCUCCUCCCGAGUCUCGAUCUCCUCCUCUCUUCUCCUCCCCCGACCUCCUCCUCUCUACUCCUCCGAUCGGCGGCGUGGGGCUCGCGAAGCAGCGGCCGUGUGCAAUGGAAGCAGCGGCGGCGGUGGCCGCGAAGAGUGGCGGCGCGGGGCGGCAGCCGCGAAGAGUGGAGGCGUGGGGCGCGCGGGGCGGCAGCCGCGAAGGGCAGCGGCGACGCGAGAAGAGCCGCGGCGGAGACGCGCGGGGCGGACGGGAAGAGCGCGGCGGUGCGCGGGGGGCCUAGAAGUGCGGCCGCGGCGGCGCGGCCGCGCCGACGCGUGGGGCGGACGGGAAGAGCGGCGGCGUGGGGCGCGCGGGGCGACCGCAAAGAGCCGCAGCAGCGCACGGGGGGGCCGCGAAGAGCAGCGGCGGCGGCGGCCGUGAAGGGCCCCUGGCGUAGCUGAGCCAGGGUCGCCCUCGGACCCUUGCGCGCCGCCCUGCUGUCGUUUUCCUAGGCGUGCUCUGAACGGCGCCACCUCAGCACCACAGGCCUAUCCCGGCUUCUCCCUCACCUCCGGCGUCACCGAUGCUGGUGUGCACGCAUGCGCAAGAGGGUGUGCAACGUAUAUGGUAGCGCGUGGUACUGCUGCAGCGGCGAGUACGGCACGUCUCCGUCGUCCUGGACCACCUCCUCACAUCUCCAUCGUCCACGACCUGCUCCUCAAAAGGCUGCGGCGGCAACGGUGGCCUUCUUGCAACCCUUCGACAUGCCGCCACGGACAAUGGCGCUCGGACAUGGCACCACGACACGGAGCAACAACAGGCCGCGUCAAUGUCGUGAUGGCGGAGAAGUCGCUACUACCGCACUAGCAGGCAUGUAGGCGGAGAAGGAACCACCAUUUGCUUCCUACAUGUAUAGAAUGCCGCAUCUCAUGGUAGCUAGACACAGAUAAAUUGGUAACCCAGUGAUGUUAACCUGAUAAGUAUAACCUGGUAACCAAGUGAACUUUGUUUUACAGGUGAUAUUAACCUGGUAAACAAUUGAUCAUGACCUGAUAACCAAGUGAUAUUAACGUGGUAAACAAUGACUAUAAUUUGAUAACCAA